GUCCCGGAUAGCGCAGUGGUUAUCGCACCUGCCUGGUAAGCGGGAGGUCCCGGGUUCGAAUCCCUGUCCGGUACA